AUGAAGUCGGAAUCGCUAGUAAUCGUGGAUCAGAAUGCCACGGUGAAUACGUUCCCGGGCCUUGUACACACCGCCCGUCACACCAUGGGAGUGAUGAAGUCGGAAUCGCUAGUAAUCGUGGAUCAGAAUGCCACGGUGAAUACGUUCCCGGGCCUUGUACACACCGCCCGUCACACCAUGGGAGUGGGCUGCACCAGAAGUAGAUAGCUUAACCUUCGGGAGGGCGUUUACCACGGUGUGGUUCAUGACUGGGGUGAAGUCGUAACAAGGUAGCCCUAGGGGAACCUGGGGCUGGAUCACCUCCUUACUGA
rnacentral:rRNA from 1 species